UCAUGUACACGCCUACAAAGUUAAUGCACCAAAUCCCAUCAAAACUCCACAAUUAACCAUGUUUGGGCUAGAGUAUUACUAGGAUGGGUGACCUCUCAGGAAGUCCUAGUGUUUUACAUGCC
rnacentral:rRNA from 1 species